AUUGAACGCUGGCGGCAUGCCUUACACAUGCAAGUCGAACGGCAGCAUAGGAGCUUGCUCCUGAUGGCGAGUGGCGAACGGGUGAGUAAUAUAUCGGAACGUGCCCUAGAGUGGGGGGUAACUAGUCGAAAGACUAGCUAAUACCGCAUACGAUCUACGGAUGAAAGUGGGGGAUCGCAAGACCUCAUGCUCCUGGAGCGGCCGAUAUCUGAUUAGCUAGUUGGUGGGGUAAAAGCCUACCAAGGCGACGAUCAGUAGCUGGUCUGAGAGGACGACCAGCCACACUGGGACUGAGACACGGCCCAGACUCCUACGGGAGGCAGCAGUGGGGAAUUUUGGACAAUGGGGGCAACCCUGAUCCAGCAAUGCCGCGUGAGUGAAGAAGGCCUUCGGGUUGUAAAGCUCUUUUGUCAGGGAAGAAACGGUGGUAGCUAAUAUCUACUACUAAUGACGGUACCUGAAGAAUAAGCACCGGCUAACUACGUGCCAGCAGCCGCCGUAAAAC
rnacentral:rRNA from 1 species